GAGUUGUGACUUGUGCUUCACUUCAUCUUGGGGAAAUUCGACCUGGUGCUUUAAGGGGAAAUCACAGACAUCAUACUUGUAAUGAGACACUUGUCAUUUGGGGUGCUAAAACAAAAUAUAGGUUGGAGAACAGCCAAGUAGUUGGUGAAGGUUAUGCUGAACUGAUAAUUGAUGCAGACGAGGUUGCUGUUGCAGCUAGCCCAAGCGGAGCUGCCCAUGCUUUAGUAAACGUGGAUCAAAUACGAAGUUCAUACUUUAUAGGGUGCCAAGACAGUAUUGUAAAUUAUAGCAACUCAUCUACUGAUUUUAAUGUUUAGAAAGAUCUUUAAGCUUUAUUUUUUGCAAGUUUUGCUUGGUUUCCCUUUCCAGUCUGACAGGCUUCAUUUUUUUUUUUUUUUUGUUUUAAAUUGCCCAAUAGGUGACUACUGUACUAGGGCAUUCCAAGGUUAAUAUAAGUUUCAAGAUAAGAAGUUGUUGUCUCUGUA